rnacentral:rRNA from 1 species
GACGAACGCUGGCGGCAGGCUUAACACAUGCAAGUCGAGCGCCCCGCAAGGGGAGCGGCAGACGGGUGAGUAACGCGUGGGAAUCUACCCAUCUCUACGGAAUAACGCAUGGAAACGUGUGCUAAUACCGUAUACGUCCUUCGGGAGAAAGAUUCAUCGGAGAUGGAUGAGCCGGGGUUGGAUUAGCUUGUUGGUGGGGUAGAGGCCUACCAAGGCGACGAGCUAUAACUGGUCUGCGAGGAUGAUCAGCCACACUGGGAGUAAGACACGGCCCAGACUACAACGAGAGGAAGCAGUGGGGAAUAUUGAACAAUGGGCGCAAGCCUGAUUCGGCCAUGCCGCGUGAGGGAUGAAGGCCCUAGGGUUGUAAAGCUCUUUCACCGGUGAAGAUAAUGACGGUAACCGGAGAAGAGGCCCCGGCUAACUUCGUGCCAGCAGCCGCCGUAACAC